CCCUUAGAUGUUCUGGGCCGCACGCGUGCUACACUGACCGGCGCAACAAGCUUUUUUCCUUGGCUCGACAGGCCUGGGUAAUCUUCGAACGCCGGUCGUGAUGGGGAUAGAUCCUUGCAAUUUUUGAUCUUCAACGAGGAAUUCCUAGUAAAUGCGAGUCAUCAUCUCGCGUUGAUUACGUCCCUGCCCUUUGUACACACCGCCCGUCGCACCUACCGAUUGAAUGGUCCGGUGAAUAAUUCGGACUGCGGCAUUGACCGGUUCCCGAUCGUUGCUGCGGAAAGUUUAGUGAACCUUAUCACUUAGAGGAAGGAGAAGUCGUAACA
rnacentral:rRNA from 1 species